UUACGGCCAUAUCACGUUGAAAUAGCGGUUCUCGUACGAUCACUGAAGUUAAACAACGUCGAGCCAGGUCAGUACCGAGAUGAAUGAACGCUUGGGAAUACCAGGUGCUGUAA
rnacentral:rRNA from 1 species